GUGGAUGUAGUUCAGUGGUAGAACAUUCUCCCCAUGUGCAAGGCCCUGGGUUCAAUCCCUAGCAUCAAAA
rnacentral:tRNA from 1 species